rnacentral:rRNA from 1 species
CACUAUUUUUGGAGGACAACUCGUGUGCCCCCCAGCCCGCGGUUCUCCCUCCACCAACAGUAGAAUAAUAAAGUUGUUGCAGUAAAAAAGCUCGUAGUAGUAUUUCUGUUAAUAAUAUAAUAUAAAAUAUUGUGAUGAAUAUUUAUAUAACAUUAACAUAAUUCAUAUUACUAUUUUUUUUAGUAUAUGAAAUUUUACUUUGAGAAAAUUAGAGUGCUUAAAGCAGGCAUAUGCCUUGAAUACUCCAGCAUGGAAUAAUAUUAAAGAUUUUUAUCUUUUUUAUUGGUUCUAAGAUAAGAAUAAUGAUUAAUAGGGACAGUUGGGGGCAUUUGUAUUUAACAGUCAGAGGUGAAAUUCUUAGAUUUGUUAAAGACAAACUAAUGCGAAAGCAUUUGCCAAGGAUGUUUUCAUUAAUCAAGAACGAAAGUUAGGGGAUCGAAGACGAUCAGAUACCGUCGUAGUCUUAACCAUAAACUAUGCCGAAUAGAGAUUAAAGAGUG